rnacentral:rRNA from 1 species
UACGGGGGGAGCAAGCGUUGUUCGGAUUUACUGGGCGUAAAGGGCGCGUAGGCGGCCACCGCAAGUCGACUGUGAAAUCUCCGGGCUUAACCCGGAACGGUCAGCCGAUACUGCGGGGCUAGAGUGCAGAAGGGGCAACUGGAAUUCUCGGUGUAGCGGUGAAAUGCGCAGAUAUCGGGAAGAACACCGGCGGUGUAGACGGCUUACUGGACCAUAACUGACGCUGAGGCACGAAAGUGUGGGGAGCAAACAGG